rnacentral:rRNA from 1 species
GAUGAACGCUGGCGGCGUGCCUAACACAUGCAAGUCGAGCGAGAAAUUACUCAAUGAAUCUUCGGAAGAAUUAAGUAAUGGAAAGCGGCGGACGGGUGAGUAACGCGUGGGCAACCUGCCUUUCACAGAGGGAUAGCCAAAGGAAACUUUGAUUAAAACCUCAUAAAGCCGGAAUAGUGCAUAAUAUACCGGCCAAAGAUUUAUCGGUGAAAGAUGGGCCCGCGUCUGAUUAGCUAGUUGGUGGGGUAACGGCUCACCAAGGCAACGAUCAGUAGCCGACCUGAGAGGGUGAUCGGCCACAUUGGAACUGAGACACGGUCCAAACUCCUACGGGAGGCAGCAGUGGGGAAUAUUGCACAAUGGGCGAAAGCCUGAUGCAGCAACGCCGCGUGAACGAAGAAGGCCUUCGGGUCGUAAAGUUCUGUCCAUAGGGAAGAAAAAAAUGACGGCACCUGUGGAGGAAGCCCCGGCUAAAUACGUGCCAGCCGCCGCCGUAACAC